rnacentral:lncRNA from 1 species
UUUUUUUUUUUGGUAGAGAUGUGUUGCCCAGGCUGGUCUCAAAGUCCUGGCCUCCAGCGAUCCUCCCCUCUCAGCCUCCCAAAGCUUUCGGAUUACAGGUGUGAGCCACUGUGCCUGGCCCGGCCUCUGCUUCUAUAUUUACAUAUUUCUCUGACUCUAACGAUCCUGCCUCCAUCUUAUAAGGAACCCUGUGAUGAUAUUGGAUCCACCGGGAUAAUCCAAGAUAAAUCUCCCUAUCUCAAGAUUCUUAAUCACAAAAAGUUCCUUUUUCCAUAAAAGGUGCUAUAUUCACGGGUUCCAGGGAUAAAGAUGUAGACAUCUUUGGGGGGCCAUUACUCUUCCUACCAGAGCACACAUCAAUAAUCUUCUUAUGAAAUAAUCACUCAAAGACUCACAAGGAUUCUACUCCUAUUGGGCCCUUGAGGACUCUAAUCUAUUACAAUCGACAUUCUCAGAUAUUAUCAAGGACUAAGUACACACAUGCUUGUCACUAACAGGUGCAAGCUGCCUUCCCUCCAAAUACUCCACUACAGCCUCUUCAUAAUUUCUAAACAGGGAAUUUAGUCCUCUGGAAAAGACAUUGCAGGAAGACUAACCUUGAACUCAGAUGGGAUGGACCCUACACUAUUGCAAACACCAGACUGUCCUGCCUUGGGUUCAUAUCUCAGAGAUGAAGAGAUAUAAGACCUGUGCUGAAUGGGAAUCCACUGCCAUUAGAGACCUCAGAGGGAGGCUCUUUCAAGAGCCCUGGAAGCGGACGAGGCUGCAUCUGUAGACAGCUCUCCCAAGAACCUUGGGUCAAGUAGAUGACAUCAUGAGACAGCCUCCUCCCGGAAUCAGAAACUCCCGGAUUCCCUGCCACACACACUAUUUUAGAGACAGGGUCUCACCAUGUUGCCCAGGUUGUCCUUGAACUCAUGAGCUCACACAAUCCUCCUGCCUCUGUCUCCUGGGUACUACAGGUGCAUGUCACAGAGCCUGGCUAGGAUUCUCCAUUUUAAUACCCACUCUGGUCCUCCCGUGCCUGCUUCUCAUCAUGUGACUUUUGCCUUUCAUUUGUGUUCUCUCUAUUUUAUUUUUUUGAGAUAGAGCCUCCCUCUGUUGCCCAGGUUGGAGUGCAGUGGCGUCAUCUCAGCUCACUGCAACCUCCGCCUGCCAGGUUCAAGCAAUUCUCCUGCCUCAGCCUCCCAAGUAGCUGGGAUUACAGGCGUGCACCACCACACCCAGCUAAUUUUUGUAUUUUUAGUAGACACGGGGUUUCGCCAUGUUGGCCAGGCUGGUCUUGAACUCCUGACCUCAAAUGAUCCGCCUGCCUCUGCCUCCCAGGCUCAAGUGAUCCUCCUGCCUCAGCCUCCUGAGUAGCUCAGACUACAGGCACAUGCCACCAUAUCCAGUUUGUGUGCCAUGUUUGGAAGCAACUGUUGCUUGUUGAUUCUCCAGAAAUCUUUCUCUCUCUCUCUCUCUUUUUUUUUUUUUUUUUGAGACGGAUUCUCCCUCUGUCACCCAGGCUGGAGUGCAGUGGCACGAUCUUGGCUCACUGCAACCUCUGCCUCCUGGGUUCAAACGAUUCUCCUGCGUCUGCCUCCUGUGUAGCUGGGAUUACAGGUGUGUGCAAUCACGCCUGGCUAAUUUUUGUAUUUUUAAUACAGAUGGGGUUUUGCCAUGUUGGCCAGGCUAAUCUUGAACUCCUGACCUCAGGUGAUCCGCCCACCUCGGCCUCCCAAAGUGCUGGGAUUACAGACGUGAGCCACCGCACCUGGCUGAUUCUCCAGAAAUCUUUUGGCAUCGUCAUUAAUAAAAGCAUCAAGAAGUCAGAAAGGAAAUCUUCAGAAUUGCUACAGCUCUUUGGACUCCAGUAACCAAGCAUGUCUCUUCACCUCCUUCUUGGAAUCCUCCCACC